rnacentral:lncRNA from 10 species
GGGGGCGGAGUCUGCGCUGAGUGAAGAGGUGCCAGAAUCCGCGAAGAGGGUCGACGAAUGCGCUGCCGCGGAGGGCCGUGGAAGAACUUGCCGAUGGAGGGACCACAGAGGGAUCUAUGGGAGAACAACGGCAACUGCAGGAGAGUGGGCCAAAUAAUCAUGGCAACAGGACUUUUAGAAGCACGUCCUCUGAAAGCCAUUUUCUGCCUGUGGUUGGAAAGGGACUGUGAGUCUUUCCUCAGGAAGUCAGUAGCCCUACCUGGUGAGGUGAUCAAGAGUUUGCUAGCACAAGAGAUGAAGCAACAAUGGCCAUGAGGGAUUCAAGGAUUAUGCGGUAAGUCUCUGCACCCUACAAUACACCAACUGGCAGUUCCAUCAUUUGAAAGAAAAUCUUCAAGGUAAAGACAUUUACAAUGACACAAAAACCUUUCAAAGGCAUCAUGGUCCUAAAGGGCUUUCCCCAAGGGACAGCACAGUGUGUUCCAGGCCCUGACAAGAGGUUUAAGACCUGUGACACAGACUGAAGCUCUCCUGGCAUACUCUGAAGCUCUCCUGGCACCCUCCCCUUUAUGCUUCACAGGUGUUUCUCCUAAUAAAUUUCUUGUAUGUCUCAUCCCAUCUGGGAAUCUGCUUCUCAGAAGACUCAAACUAACAUAUCUGCCCACUAUGUAUCAGGCACUGUGCUAGGUGCUGGAGACCUAAAAAUGGAUAAAACAGACAAGAGCCCUUCAUUCAUGGUGCUUGCAUCAUAGUGGGGGUAAAUAUUCCAUAAGCAAGAGAAUAAAUAGAUAAGAUAAAUUUAAAAACUAGAGAAUGACUUGUUAUAAAUUGAUUGGUAAUCAGGGAAGGUCUUCUGAGGAGAUGACACUUAAGCUGACACCUGAAUGAGAAGAAGGGGCUGGUCAACUGAAGACCUAGAUGAGAGUAUUGUAGGCAGAGGGAAGAGCAAGGACCACAGGUUGAGAAAGAAACUAGUUUGACAUAUUUGAUGGGGGAAAAGCCAGUUUGAAGAAUAAUAAAAAAGGGAAUGAAUGGAAUAAACAAGGACAUUAAAGAACUAGAGAGGAGCCUGAUCAUCACAGUAAGGCAUUUAGAAUAGGUUAGGGAGAAGACCAUUCUCUAUCAGGGUAGAACUGAAAAGGCUACGUCUGCUGCUAAAUGCUGCUAUAAAAAGACAAGGGCUUUCAUAUACUACAGAUGCAAUCUUUUGGAUCCACUUAUAUUGAGCAGACUUCGUGGACCCUCCUAAGAAAGUAGGCACCACAAAAAUAUUACAUCUAUACAAAAUGCAGGGCUCCAAGCCAUAGAUGUAUAUAUCACAUUGUGUGUGUGUGUGUGUGUGUGUGUGUGUGUGUGUGUGUGUGUGUGUGUGUCUGUAAAGCCAGCCAGUUUGUAAGCUGAACAUGACUCCCACAUGCUUUCAGAGAGAAGAGAAAAGAGAGAGGACCGUGUACUGGAAUAAGCCCUAAGAACUUCUUGGAAGAAGGGGAAGUUAGCUGAUCAAAAUUAUGUUGCUUUCUAGAAAAGAAGUAAAAAGCCAGGCAGUUUCUUUUGCUAGAACUGUCUGGGUAGAUUUCCAUUCUAAGAAAAUUACAACAAUGUAUAGUUUUAAAUAGCUAGAAGGAGAAUACUGAAUGUUCCCAACACAAAGAAGUGAUAAAUAUUUGAAAUGACGGAUAUAUUCAUAGUCCUUAUCUGAUUGCUAUACACAAUAUGUAUUGAAACAUCAUUAUGUACCCCAUGAAUAUGUGCAAUUAUUAUAAUUCAAUUUAAAAAAUAAAAUUAAACAAAGAAAGCAAGGGGUCAACAGCAUCCAUUGUAAAUGUGCUACCUCUCCACCUGUCUCAUUUAUGAAGUUGGGGGAGCUCCUGAACAGAUAACGAAGUGCAAUGAAAUUUGGAGAAGAAAUCUAGUACCUAGGUCUAGAGAGCAAAUGUGCAACUUCUUUGGAGAAUAUGUUUCAAAUAAAGCUUCAAGAGCUGUUCCUAGUAGCAUAUGGCUGUUGCUCUUGGUGUGGAGGUUCAUGGAGUAAUGUUUCUUGAUCAGAGGAUCUUGCAGGUUAUUGUUCACUUCUACUGCUGCCUCUACCCAAUGUAUAGUUUGAGUCCUAAGAGGCUUGGCCUUUUUACUUUGCCUUCCACCCCAAUAGGGACAGCACAGUGAGAAACAGAUCUACAAUGGCUCCGCAGACCUUUCCUUUGGAGAGAUGCUGGGCAGCUGCACACACUAAGAAAGUUUCCUGAAAUAGAAUUGCAUUAUCUGAGGCCUGGAAAAUGUGUUGGAAAAGCUCACUUAGCUAUGGGAAAGCCGAUGAAAGACCUGUCUGGUUUCUGAGCAUUGUCUGGGGAGCUCAAAUUCUAUAAAUGGGCCCCCAAGGUAUCCAUCAUUUAGCCCUUGCCAAGGCUGGGUCAACAUGCUGGCAAAGAACUGUCUGAACAUUGAAAAAUCCUCCAACCUAUUAUCUCCUGAGAGAAAGCUAGUUAUUUGAAAUACAAGUUGGAUUUUAAAAUUUCUAUCAGCAUGUUUUUAAAUUAAUCUUUUGUUAAUGUAAACAUACAGAAAAUUACAUGCAUUAUAAGUGAACAGAUCAAUGAAUUUUCAAAAAGUGAAUAUAACUUUAUAGCCACAUCAGAUCAAGAAACAGACAUUACCAGCACCCCAGGAGUCUUUCUACUAUUUCCUUCCUGAAUCCAGAAUAGGGUAACUACUAUUCUGGAUUGUAAUACAGAUAAGUUAACUUUGCCUGUUUUGUAUUUUAUGCAAAUAAAGUCAUACCAUAUACAGUACUGAUCUCAAGGAAGAAGCUUUUAGCAUUUUAAUAUUAAAUACAAUAACAUGUAAUUUUUUGGUAGAUUUUUAAAAUCGAAUUUAGAAAGUUCCCUUCUAUUUCUAGUUUGUUACAAAUUUUCAUCAUGAAUAUAUGUUGAAUUUUGUCAAAUGCUUUAUUUUAUUGAGAUAAUCUGC